rnacentral:rRNA from 2 species
ACGUGGGUAACCUGCCCAUAAGACUGGGAUAACUCCCGGAAACCGGGGCUAAUACCGGAUAACAUUUUGAACUGCAUGGUUCGAAAUUGAAAGGCGGCUUCGGCUGUCACUUAUGGAUGGACCCGCGUCGCAUUAGCUAGUUGGUGAGGUAACGGCUCACCAAGGCAACGAUGCGUAGCCGACCUGAGAGGGUGAUCGGCCACACUGGGACUGAGACACGGCCCAGACUCCUACGGGAGGCAGCAGUAGGGAAUCUUCCGCAAUGGACGAAAGUCUGACGGAGCAACGCCGCGUGAGUGAUGAAGGCUUUCGGGUCGUAAAACUCUGUUGUUAGGGAAGAACAAGUGCUAGUUGAAUAAGCUGGCACCUUGACGGUACCUAACCAGAAAGCCACGGCUAACUACGUGCCAGCAGCCGCGGUAAUACGUAGGUGGCAAGCGUUAUCCGGAAUUAUUGGGCGUAAAGCGCGCGCAGGUGGUUUCUUAAGUCUGAUGUGAAAGCCCACGGCUCAACCGUGGAGGGUCAUUGGAAACUGGGAGACUUGAGUGCAGAA